GCCUUCUGGGAAAUGAUAUAUAAUGAAUUAAAAAAGGUAUUGAAAUAUACUUUUCUAAAGAAACCAGAGGCCUUCCUCUUGGGCAUGGUCGGCCAAUUGGUGCGAAGGGAAGAUAGAACUUUUUCAUGUAUGCGACAGCAGCAGCAAGAAUACUCAUUGGGAAAUACUGGAAGACACAAGAAUUGCCUACCCGAGAAGAAUGGCAGAUGAAAGUGAUGGACUAUAUGGAAUUGGCUGAGAUGACCGGCAGAAUUCGAGACCGGGGAGAGGGGUCGAUGGAAGAAGAUUGGUAAAAUUUAAAAUAUAUCUUCAAAAAUAUUGCAACAUAAAAGAAUGUUAGAAAGAGGUUGGAAAAAGAAUAUUAGGUCGUUUUGGCAGAUAUGAUAUAAUGGAUUAAGUAAAAAUGAAAUAUAGAAAUUGAUGAAAUUGAGGAGGAUUAAUUAUAUUAUUGAAUGUUAAAAUAAGUAAAUGAAAAGAAGGUUAGAAGGAUCUGCUGGAAAUACGAUUUGAACUAGAAUACAGGGCUGGGAGGUGGGAGGAGGUCAUGGAAAUAAGUAAAAGGAAAAAAGGUUAGGUAAAGGUUUAAUCUGUUUUUUGCUUUAUCUUAAUGUAAUGUAUUUUUAUACUUUUUGUUAAGUUUUUCUUAUUGUCUGUUUUUUGUUAUAUGUGUAUUUUAUUUUGUAUGGCUUUUCUUUUCUUUUUUGUAAUUUUAAAUUUGGAAUAAAUAUCAUUUAAAAAAAAAAGAGAGAUUUUUUAUUUCAUUUUUUGUAUUUCGCUUCCUAUAAUUCCUAAUAGGGAGGCUUCUGGUUUUUUGACGAAGGAUAUUUUAAACAUUUUCUUUAGUUCAUUAUAUAUCAUUUCCCAUUUUUAAAAUAAUUAUACAUUGCCACCACAUAUGAUAAAAUGUACCUACUACUUCUUUACAUUUCCAACAUUUCUUAUCUUCUGAUUUAUACAUUUGUGAUAAUUUCACUGGUGUUAAAUACCACCUACACAUCAUUUUCAUGUAAUUUUAUUUUAUCAAUGUACAGGCCGUAAAUUUCAAAUUAUUUCUCCACUAUUUCCCCCAAUCUGACAUUUGAAUAUUAUGUCCCACAUCCAAGCGGGUGGUUCAAGGGGCCACGGUCUUGCAGAUAGGUGCCAUCCUGGAAAGUAACCUGCAUGCAAGGCACAACCAUACUGACUAUUGUUCCUCUGUUUCUCCAUGCCCCAGGUCCAGUGGACGGGCUGAAGAACCAGAAGUUCUUUUGACGAACUUCGGAUUAACUACAUCAAGGAACUAGAUCACACCAUUGCUUGCGAGAGGAAGAACCCUACUUCCUGCUCCUGGCAUUUCUACCAGCUCACUAAGCUCCUAGAGUCUGUGCAGCCUGUAAGUAAGAGGAGAAGGGAAGAGAAAGAGGUUGGCCACACAAAGGGCAAGAUCUUUUGUUAAUCUUUUGAUCAAAACCCCACAGAAUCUGCUGUUGAACUUGCGGGGGGGGGGGUCAAGGAGAGGAGAACAGACACCAGCAAACCUGUAAAAAUGAGCUCUGGGAGCAAAUCUGCGGAAAGUCACUGUGACCUCACAGUCAUUUCCUCCAAGAGGCAACUGUGCAGUCAAAGAGAUAGAUGCUUGUGGCACCCUAAAUGGCCUCAGCCUAGGAUACUUAAAGGAGCAUCUCCACCCCCAUCAUUCAGCCUGGACACUGAGGUCCCGCUCCGAGGGCCUUCUGGCAGUUCCCUCACUGCGAGAAGUGAGGUUACAAGGAACCAGGCAGUGGGCCUUCUCAGUAGUGGCACCCGCCCUGUGGAAGGCCCUCCCAUCAGAUGUCAAGUAAAUAACAACUUUAAAAGGCAUCUGAAGGCAGCCCUGUAUGGGGAAGUUUUUAAUGUCUGAUAUUUUAUCGUGGGUUUUUUUGUUUUUUUUAUAAGAUAUUUAUUGAGAUUUUCAAAAUGUUACAAAAUAAAAAUAAAAAAAAAGAAAAUACAAAAUAAAAAUGGUUAACAAAGUAAACAAAGAGAGAAACAAACCCUUCCAACAAUACAAAUACAAAUUCAAAUGAAGAAAAAAAAUCAGAAAAAACAAAAAUACACCACAAACAUUUAAAAACAUUUAAAAACAAAUUCAUUAUUCUCAAAUCCUCAACUGUCAUUACCUUCUUUCUUUGACCUCCUCCUCCCUUUCUUUGUAUCCUAGUUAUUAAUUAUCCCAGCAAAUCCUUUCCAUAUUUCAUAAUAUUCUGUCGCUACAUUACCUUAAACUGUUUUAAUCUUGUCUUUUUAUAAAAAAACCUUAAAACUUAAAGCUUAAAUCUUAUCCUUACCAACUUCUCAUAACCAUAAUAUUCUUUCAUAAUUCUUUAAGCAUCUUUACUAAAGCCGAGUAAUUUCAUUCCAACAUUUUUCUAACAUUCAUCAAUUUUAUAAAACAGUCCUAAUAGUAAAAAAAAAAGAAAUACAAACAAAUCCAAUCUUCAUCCAGCGUCCCUUCCUCCUGGUCCCGGGUUUUGUCACUCCUUAUUAUCCCAUCGAUCUAGCGCAUUAACCUGGCAACCUUAUAUCCGAGGCCCUCAAGUCUCUUCCAUGUCCCUUCCGCAGCUCUUCUUCAUAUUUGUAACUGUAUUUUCCCUUGUCUCCUGCUCGUGGUAACUCCAGCUUGACAAUAUUUUUGACCCUUCUCGACAGAUCAGCCCCUUUUCCAUAUUCAACACUAAAUUCCAUGUGAUAUUUAAAAACAUGUUUCAAAAACCCUCCAAAAUUAAGAGCCCCCACAAUCCCAAACAUCUCACGGCCCAUUGCCAGAUUUGAAAAGUCCAAACAUCCCAGCAUAGGGGGGUCAAUCCAGCCCCCCAUUUCCAAGCCAAACCAAACUUUUUCUUUCCAAAUCUGGCUUUUUCCAAGUUCAUUUGUCAAAUCCGAAAGCUCAUAUUCCUGUUGGGCCUGUUCUGUCAGGACACACUCCUGAUUUAAUUCCUGGGUGGGCUCCACAUAUUUUCCCACUGUCUGUUCAAAAUUUCUAGUCGAAGUCGCCAUCAAAUUCAUCUUCUCAUGUAACUGUUCCAGUAGGGCAUUUGUUUUAUAGAAAGCGCACAACAGAGCUUCUGAAUACAUUGUCCUGCAAGGUCAAAUGUCUGUUCCCACGAUUGUAAUCUGUAACAGCUGCCGGCUCCCUGGAAUUGGUUACAGUUUCACAGUCUCCCUCUAGGGGGAAAGCUUCUAUUUGUUCUUGCAACAAAGUUUCCCUUUUUGAGAUAUUUUGUCAAUAUUUGUUCCUUUAAAAUGCGAAAGGAAACAGUGGAAUCACUAUGUUUCUCUUCUUUUAGCUAUCUGUCAAAAAUGUUUGUCUCUGGUCAAUGAGCUUCAAACGUCAGUCCUGACACCCCGCUCCAGGAUCAGGACGGUGGAAAGUUACUUUACUUUAAACUCACUUUAAACAGUCCGAAAAAGAUCCCCCUUCUUCUCCUGCUGUCGAAGGGGGGUUCCACAAUUUUAAAUGAUGAAAUCCAAUCCUUUAAAGGCGAUUUUCUAAGCUCUAGUUUACGUUGUCUUUGCUUUAUUCUGUCUACAAAAGAACGGAAGGCUGACUUCCUGUUUAGACCUUCCCGUUCAGUACCAAAUUGAAAUAAAUUUUUAAAUCCAAUUCCUUUCUGCUCGCGAGUCCUUAUUUAAGGUCCAGUUGUUCAAAGUUUAAGUACUCACGGGUGCUUAUUUUAGAGUCCAAAUUGUCCCAGAAAAGAGGCAGCGCUCUCCGGCAACAGCUAUGCGGCUUCGCUCCACGGAAAUAGCAGUUGACUCACAGCACUGCGCCACUUCCCUCUCUUCACUUCGGAGCCCGUUAAUGGGUUCCUUUGCGAGUUGGGGGGGCGCUAAAGGUGCCCGCCGAGUCCCAUGGUCACAGGCUUCAUCCGCCUGUGAUUUUUAGAAGGGUCCCCGCUUCGCCGUAGCGGAGAAGACCCGUUUCCCGCGGAGCUAGUCCCUCCAGUUCAGAGGAAGUCCGCCAUUGCCGAUGGCGCCACCCCGGAAGUCCUAUUUUAUCGUGUUUUCACUCUUCUGCUGGGAGCUGCUCAGAGUGGCUGGGGAAACCCAGUCAGAUGGGUGGGGUAUAAAUAAUAAAAUUAUUAUUAUUAUUGUUGUUGUUGUUGUUGAUGGGUGGGGUAUAAAUAAUAAAAUUGUUGUUGUUGUUGUUGUUGUUAUUAUUAUUGUUGUUGUUGUUGAUGGGUGGGGUAUAAAUAAUAAAAUUGUUGUUGUUGUUGUUGUUGUUGUUGUUGUUAUUUAUUACAGACCAGCCAUGCUUGGAAGUUGUAUUUAAAUGUAAGCAACUGCCCUUUCCAUAUUUGAAAAACCCACACACUUCAUAAAGCUGAUUGGUCUACAUGUCAUUUAGGAGAAGGAAAGUGCAGCCCUUUCUUCUGAACUGCAGACAGUGGAAUGCAUUCCUCCUGUCAUCACCCUGUUUUUAUCAAGGGGCAAGAGUUAAGCCAGGUUGAGCCCAGUGUGUCCCUUCUGUAGCGUAUGCAUACAGAAUUAGCAUAUGCAUACAGAGAGCACAGCUCUGUGAGGUAGGACCAUCAUCUCUUUGUAUUUAGGUUCACUGGCAAACAGUAGCCACUCACUGAGCUUCCUUUUGCCCUACCACUGCUAAGGACUCUAGACAUAGCCAGGGGUCAGAGCUGAGGAAUACAUGGAAACACAUCAGCACCAAAACCCAAACAUGUUGGAGCAAAGUCAACAGAAAUAGAGACAUGCAGCCUGUUCCUGGUUCACUUGGCAUUCGGCUGCACUCCCAGCUCCUCAUAACAUCAGGGCCUUGUGUCAUGUUGCUUAUGUGAUGUCAGGAUGUGUGUUGGGUCCCCCCAAUCCUCUGGAGAAGCUGGACCAACAUGCCUGAUCAGUUAUGUAGUGGGAAUCAGGCAGUAAUAAAGGACAUUAAACAUUGAGCCCAGUGGGCUUGGGGCCAUUGCAUGACAUAUACAUUCAUUUUCAUCUGCAGGAUUCACGUGAAAUGAAGACGACUAUGUGAAGCUACAGUCCCAAGACAACUACAUGUGCUUCCUUUCUACUGUGCUGGCCAUUGACGACAUUGAAUGUUUUAAGCCUCAGAUGCCAUCUUAAGUUCUUGUUGUCAGGUGCUCCUUUGUAUUCAGAUCAGGCCUCAGCAGAAUAAUGUAGCACUUGGGGAGGAAGAUGCAGCCCAGGAGCCCAGCACUGGAGGCCAACAUAGAGAAGAUCUGCACGGCCACCAUGUACUUGCCCUUGGUGCUCAGGUAGGUGGGCACAAAAGACACCCAAACACUGCAGAAGACCAGCAUGCUGAAGGUGAUCAGCUUGGCUUCGUUGAAGGAGCCAGGCAGCUUCCUGGCUAGGAAAGCCACCGUGAAGCAGAUGGCAGCCAGGAAGCCCAGGUAGCCGAGGGCAACAUAAAACAUGGCCACAGAGCCUUCGUUGCAUUGCAAGAUGAUCUCUUCCACCUGGGAGUGCAUGUCGGGCUCUGGGAAUGGGGGAGAAGAGCCCAGCCAGAUGGUGCAGAUGAGAACUUGCACACCAGAACAGGAGAUGACAAUGGAGUUGGCCAGACUCUUCCCUAGCCAUCUCCUCACCCUGUUCCCUGGCCUUGUGGCCAGGAAGGCCAGCACCACCGUGAUGGUCUUGGCCAAGAGAGAAGAAACAGCAACGGAGAAGAUGAUGCUGAAGGCCGUUUGUCGGAGAAGGCAGGUCGCUAUUCUUGGUUGCCCAAUGAAGAGGAAGGAGGACAAACAGGAAAGCAGGAGGGAGGCGAGCAGGAUGUAGGAGAGGUCCCGGUUGUUGGCUUUGACUAUUGGGGUUUCUUUGUAUUUAAUGAAGAUUCCUAACACAAUGCCUGCUGUAGAAGAUAAGAAGAGGACAAUGGAAGCUAAGGUGAUCCCCAGAUGUUCUUCAUAAGCCAGGAAGGUCACAGUCUUGAGGACACAUUGAUCUCUGUCCUUGUUUGGAUGCUGAUCUUCUGGGCAUUUGGUGCAACGUUCUGCAUCUGAAAAAGAGAAUAAUAGAAUCACAGAACUGUAGAGUUGGAAAGGAAUCCUCUCAUGCAGGAAUAUGGAGUUGUUCCAUAUGGGCAUCAAGAGUGGCUUUUUCAAAGUCUAUGCUGAUGUGGCAUAGGAGAUAAGAAUGUGUAAAUAGGUAAAGAGAGGGGGAAAUAGUCUGUUGGUUUUAGAAAAAUGUUUGCCCUUUUUAUUUUGCCUUUCCUCCAGGGAGAUAGAGGGGGUGCACAAUCUUAUUCUCAUUUUAAUCACCAAAGCAACACUGUGAUUUCGGAUUAACUGAGAGGCAAUGGCCUCCACAUUGGUUUACUGCAUUAUAUGGUUCCUGCGUAAUCCUGAAGACACAUUUGUUUAACUUAUCCUUGUUAAUGCAAACAGUUUUCUAUUGCUUCCAUGCAAUUCUCAUACUAGUGAGAUCAGAAUAGUCCAUCUAUUGCAUUGUAAUCAUUUUCAUAUACUGUAUCAUUUAUUUUGUAUUACGCUUUUACUGUGUUAAAAAUCUGCCACUUCUCAUCAUUUGUUAGUUCUACUUAAUCACUUUCGAAUUUAGAAAAUUUCCUUUUUAGUGCUGUUCUAGUUCCUUUAUCAUUGAAAGCUCAGUAUAAAAUAGCAAAAAGCAAUGAUACCCACUUUGAACCCCAGUGAUUGCUGACUUGUGGCAUUUCUUUCAAAUCAUUUCAAAUGUGCAUUCAGCAAUGUCUUCAGAAUUCCCACAAAAAAUGUACCUGAAUGAAUCUCCGCCCUGAAUUUAUUCUCCCAAGGAGUCUUUCCCUUAGAGCAACCAACCUGCCUGAGUGGAGAACGCCCCUUCUGCACAUGGAACGCAAGCAUAGCAGCAAACAGGCUUUCCUUCUUGAACCACCUUGGCAUAUCCAGGUCGACAUCUUCCAGUACACCUGGAACGAGGUGCAGCCUAACCAUAGAGAGAAGAAGAUGUAUUGAGGGGAAAGUGUCCGGAGUAUUUGUGCAGAUGGAAUUCCCUCAUAGAAUUUGGAAAUGACCCACCAAACAGGAUCUCUCAUCCCACUCACCCCAUCCACUCUGGCGGAGAAUCGUUUUUGAUGCAGAAUAGCAUGGCAGGGAGACCACUUGGGUGUGUUUGCUUGCUUGUUUUAACAUUUAUAUCACACUUUUCUAUACAAAGGUCUGCUCAAGGCAGGAGACAAAAUAUACAUAAAGCAGAUAGCAAUCCUAGAAUCACAGCAUUAAGAAAAGGGCAGCUACAGAACAAACUGAUGACGAUUACUAAUUGAAAAUACUGACACCUGAAUACAGUAAUGAAAAACUGACUCUUGGAUCAUUAUUAAAAUAAAUUUUGAGUCCUGGGAAAGAAGGGGAGAAAUGAACCUCUUGUGGGAAGCUCCUACAUAACAGAGAAGUUCCCCCUCUGGCGAUCAUAAUCAUCAUCACUGCUAUCAUCAUCCUCUGACCUUUCCUCCAAUGAUCACAAGGUGAUUUCUGCAGCUUUCUCCCAUCUAAUUUAAUAUCUGAACAGCCCUGCAGGGGUUGCAAGGCAGAGGAUGUUCAUGGCAAGAGAGCUGGCCCAGGCUGCUGAGGACCCUUCUGAAAGGUUGGGUCCAGUGGCCCAUGAUUUUCCCAUGGCCUGCAGUGAACCCACACUUUCCAGGGGUUCAUAACAUGAGGAGUCAUGUUAAAGCACCAUUGGCUGACCACAAAAUGACAUUUUACAGCAGUUGCUCAAGGAAGAGCCUAAGCAGGCUCUCCUACCCUCUUCGUCUGUUACACCCCCUACCUUGUUAAAUUUAUUAGGCCACUCAAUAGCUUCUGGAUUAAUGGUGAACUUUAUUACACUCGAUUCCUCUCUCCUGAUGCCCCCAAUGUUCACCAUCGCACGAGACUCAUUGGGAAACAUCACCAAAUUCUUUAUAUCAAAGUCAGAAGGCAGCUCCCAAUUCUCAUCCAAACAAAGUCUGCCCCUGGAAGUAUUGAAACACUGAAUUUCAUUUAAGAAAGGAUGAAGCUGGAACGACAGGGAAGGCAGUAUUAAGAAACCAUGUUGAAUAUCUUAGUUCUACUGACUUAUAAACUGGGGCUAAACUCAUCUAGACUAGAAGCCCUAUUCAGGCAUUUCAUUUGAUUGAUUAAAGCAGGAGUUUUCAACCAGUGUGCCAUGGCACCCUGGGGUGUCAGGGGAUGAUAGUCAGGGGUGCCGUGAGCAACACUGGCCUCCAUCCCUCUUUCCUUCCCUCCUUCCUUUGUUGUGCCCUCUUGCAUCUCUGCCUCCCAAAGGCUUGCACAGCUGUUUGUUGCAGCGGCUACAAGCUUGUCUACAAGCUCCCCAGACGAAUGGUGCCUCUGGGGCUGGCCAGGGGGUGCUGGGUGCCAGGAGCUGAGGUGCCUUGGAGUAGGCAAGCAGGUGGGCGAGGAAGCCCAGCCAGCCAGUCCACCAGCCCUUGCUUUGUGGAAGGGACAAAGAAGUGGGAGGCCAGGCAGGCAGGCACCACACUGGCCUUUCUUGUGCUUGUGGGACCACUAAGGCUGGGGGCAUCCUCUUUCCAGGCCCCCAUGGGGCCGCAUGAGGAGUCAUCUUUCUUUGAGGUGGGGGGUGGCUCAGGGAUCAGGGACGGCUGUGGGGGCUGCCUGCAGGACUCCCAAGGAGAAGGGACAGAAGAGGAGAGGAGGCUGAGGGAACACUCCACAAGGGAGGGUAUUUGAAAAGGGGCGAGGGGCUGCCUGAUCUGCAGGCAAAGGUUGAAAUAACUGGGCUUCUGAGGUCUGGAGCUUGUUUCUCCACUGGUGAGCCACAGAAAGAAUGUGGCUCGUCAAGGGAGCUGUGGACUGAAAAAAGGCUGAAAACCUCUGGAUUAAAGUAUUUGUAUAUGUCAAAGCUGCCUCAAGUCUCAGCUCACAAAAGACCAACGCCUAUGUCUUCUUAUAUACAAAGGUGUUUAUUGCAGUUCAUUGUUUGCUUGACAUCCUAGGCGCGCAGCCUUACGUCUCUUACGCUUAGACCGCUGAAGUCCCCUCUGAGUCAGUCCCUCCCCUGCACCAAUUUAAGAGACUUGCGCUGCUCCACCUCUUUCUCUCCUUCCUUUUCCGCAGGGUCCUUCUGCCCACUGGGGUUUCGCCCCUCCUGGAUUCCUCUGACGCUGAAUCCCCAGACUGCUCUUCCCCCCUCCUGCGGGCUUUGGGACCUGGCCCCUCCUCCGGGCUCCCUGUACUUCCGCGCACCUCUACAUUUGAACUAGGCGCGCGCGCCAAACCUCUAACUUUCCUUUUGACAGUUACACUACUCCCUUCACUGCUCCCUCCCCUUCCGGAAGGGCGGCUUGCUCUGACCUCCCUCCUUUCUCUGCUCCCGGAGCUGCUUCCUCUGACACACUGGAAACUCCACCCCCUUCGCUGCACUCUGGUGGGGAGGCUGGUCCUGACGCCCAGCUGCCACUUUGGGAUCCUCCGCUGGCCCCCUGCUCCUGACACGUCCCCCCUGGGGCUCCCUGGCCUUGACCACCGGCGCCCCUUCUGGGAAUCCUCUGAUUCGCUGGAAAGACUCAUGGAAUCUCUUGAGUCAUUGUCAUCCUCUUCCUCGCUGGCUUGGAAUUCCUCCCCAUCGCUCUCCAUCUCCUGCCUACCCUGUGCCUCUCUCCCUGAACCCCUGACAGCAUAAUUAUAAAAUAACAAGGAGCUUUGAAGAAUGAGAUUAAUACAAAUGACAAUACUAUUUUAAAACUCACAAAGAACGUAGACAUCCAAAAUGUCUAACAGGCACAAUCCUAAAAAACAGUGCUUGGGAAUAAGUGCAUUGGAACGAGCAGAGAGAGCAGCAUUUCCACAGGAGUCCCUUUUAUCUCGAGUGAAGAUUAUUGCACAUUACGAGGGUAACUGCAGAGAAGGCCUGCACAGACCCUGCCCUUGUCAUCUGUGUUGUGCUUCCUUCGCGAGAGGUUCAGAAGGUGGCAACACGAGAGCGGCACUUUUCUGUGGAAGGGAGGCUUGCCUUCAUGACAUAUUUUUAAGUGCUGACAAAAGCAUCCAGACUGUUGGUGGAUUAAUCAAUCCAUGACCUUUUAAAUGAGUUUGUGAGAGGAGGGUUAUUGGUUUGCUUUUCUUAGUUUAUUGUUACAGGGUUUUUUUCUCAUUCGAUAUUUUUAUGCUGUGAUCUGCCCUGUGAUCUUUGGACAAAGGACAGUUAACAACAACAAUAACAGCAACAGCAGCAGCAGCAACAACAACAACAACAACUAGAAGAGUGCCACAAGGCAUGCACUACUCCCAAUCCCUGCAGAGCAGUAGUGAGAUUCCAAGGUGUUUCCAGGUGCUCCCCCAGGGUCAGGGUUCCUUUGAGAACCAAUACAAGUAGAGACUGCCAUAGCUUCAAGUUGAGACGGAGGGAGUCCAGAUCUUACAGCAUGGUCAUCUCAGUGGCAAAGAGCCCCACACAGUGGCCUUGCAUUGCAGAGAGAGCCCUCCUGAACCCGCCACUGGCCUUUGCAGAAACUUCUCCCCUUUCUCCCACUUCCACAACCCCUAGAAUUCCAAAGCACAGAUGUCAGGGCUGGCAGCCCUGACAACAGAUUUCUUUUGUGGCAUCAGACUCAGUAUACCUUGAUAGCCUCCCCUGCUGAGCCCUGUGGCCAGAGCGACUCUUUAUUUCUCUCAGUGUCUACAUUACCUUCCUUUUGUCUGGUUAGUGACUUGGGCAGGAGUAGCAAGGGGGGGGGGGCAGAGAAAGUGGGGACCUUCAGUUCUUGCAACUGCCUCAAUCUGGCCAGACCUUCAGAGAAGUGUUACUGGGACAAUGAGGGCAGAGCUGCUUCUGUUUCACUUUGAAUAAAGAGUUAAGUUUACUGGCUUCUGGUGAUUUCAUGUUUAAUUGCUGACUUACUGAUCCGAGCCUUGACACAAAAUUAGUAUAUAAAACCAUGGAAUGGAGACUCUCCAAGUGUCCCUAUUUUCUCAGGGACGUCCCUGAUUUAGAGAAGCCAUCCCGGUUUCUGAUUUGAUCCCCGAAUGUCCCACUUUUCCUUAGGCUGUCCCUAUUUUCGUGGGAGAAAUGUUAGGAGGGUAUGGAGUUAUCCAACCCCUGAGCCAUCUGAAGACAAUCCUGUAUAGGAAAGUGUUUUGGUUUUUUAGUGUUUAAUGUUUUAUUAUGUUUUUAUAUGUGUAGGAAGCUGCCCAGAGUGGCUGGGGCAACCCAGUAAGAGGUGUGGGAUAUAAAUAGUAAAAUUCUUAUUAUGGAAUGGGACAUCCCUAUUUUCAUCAGAGAAAUGUUGGGGGAUAUGACAUGUACAGGUUUUUAUAUGCACCGGAAUCCCAAAAGAGGGGUGUUGUUUUUUGCCUGACCUCUAAAUUGUAUUGUAGUUAGGAUGGUGGAUUGCAAUUUGCAAAACGGGGAAGAAAAUACCUGCCAUGGUUGUAGCCUUUGAUGUUCCCCCUUCUUUCCUUUUCCCACCAUCAGCAGCCGCUUUGAUCUAGAUGAAAAUGCAGCCUUGAAGGCCUGAGCCACAGCCUGAGCAGUGAUGUAAGUGCUGUAGCUGUCCUGAGACAGGGCUCUCUCCAGCUCCUCUUGCGGCAGAGCCUCCAGGUUCUCCUCCUCUCUGCAUCUUGUCUGGCCUUUCACAGACAACACAUGCUUUGAAUAUGAACAAUGAAACAUUUUCCCCAGAAAAUGCUGAAGAAGAUGGGAAAGUACUGCAUAGUAAUCACGUUUUGUGCUCUUUAUUCUGGUCUUCGUUACAAAGGAGAGAGACCCAUGAAUGUACUGGAAGUACAUAGGGGGAAUAGACAAGCUAAUACUGAUUUCCGGAAAAGAUGUUGUGAUCCAGACUUUCGCCCCUAUUUCCUUUUCAUACAUUUCUUGUAUCGACACAAUUUUGAAGAUUCCCACUGUGUCAGAUACAUAGCAAACAAAUACACUGACUUGUCUCCAGAUGAAAAAAGGUUCACCUGGGCUGAUCCUAAGUGCUAGAUCAUUUUCUUUUAUUAUUUUUGAUAAGGCAAUGCAAAUCCCUUUGCUGAUCAGCAGAGGUGUCAAGGCGCUCACAAACAUUUCUCCACUGUUAUUGUCCGGAGCCAAGAGGCCAAUCCACGUCCAUCCAAAAUGCAGGAGCAACUCGACAAUGCCUUGGUGCUGAGUUUUCUCUUUGGGGAGCAUCCGGUAGACAAAAGGGAACUGAGUUUUAUCUUCAAGACCCUGGGCAGUGAAGCCAUAACUGAUCUAGUGAGGAAAUGAAAAGAUUACUGUAUGCAUUUCAAAUUCUCUGACCUUCCAUACCCUACCCCUUCAUACCUGUGGGAUUUUGUAGAUGCUUGACAUGGCUGAAAUCUCUUUUGAGAUGGCAGAAUUUCCCCUUUCAAGAACAACUAGCAAGUCAUUUGGAUCGCCACAGUGAUAAUUGGGAAUAUUGCUUCCCCUGCCUGUAAGCAGCUCUAGCAUGGCAUCUGAAGUCAUCCUUGCAUCUGCGUAGUUCUCAUAGAGGCUGUAGCCCAGGGUGAUGUUGGGUAAGAGCCUGAGAUCCUGGUUGAUCUCCUGGAUGGUGAACAAGAAGGACGAUACGCGCCAGUAGAACCAAGGUGACUCUCUACAAUAAAGGAAUAAAGAAGUAUAAAGCUACAAUUCACAGCUGAAUGAAAACAAACAUUAUCUGACCAACAGAGAUUAGUAUUUAUUUAAUUAUCUUAUUGCAUUUAUAUCCAAUAUUUUUUCCUGUCCAUUAUACAAUAAAGAUUGGGCAAUUCAUGCUCCAUUACAGGAGAACAGACGCAGAGUCUCCAUGUAAUAAAACUGAUUAAAAAAUGAAGUUUGUGAAAUACUGUGAAGCCGCAAAGGUUGCUUUUGCUUCAGUGGUCUUGGCUGCUUCCCGGAGGAGCUGUGUAAAUUCCUCAGUUGUUCUUCAGAAGGAAAAAUGGGGGUCAAGGAGGAGGAGGGUUUUGCCAAAAAUGACCACAAAGUUAGAAAACAGUUGGUUAGGAACAAUUUGUGUCCUAGAGAGGAAGCAGAAAACGCCUCUUUAAUUACAGAUGAAGCCUGUGGUGUUGGAAAUGUGUGUGUGAAAAAAAUGAAUAUUUCUUGUUCACAUUUUAGAGAUCUGACUCCACUAACAAUUAAGUCAUAUUACCUGCAUUAUUUCAUUUGUUUAAUUCAAAGCAUAUUUUUUCCUGCUUUUCAGCAUGAAAAGUCACACAGAGGGUUUUAAAAUGUUUUAAACCGUUACAUUCCUUAAAGACAACUCUGAUUAAAUAGUUUAUAAAUUGUCCAAAUAGAAUAAUAAUAAAUAAAAUCAUUGAAGCUUGGUGACUGCCUGAGUUUUGUGCCACCCCGCAGGUGGGAUAAUUCAGUGCAUUCUUUUGAUUCCAGACCACAUUCAUUUACAUUAUUGUUUUACCACCUUCAAAAUGCAACACAGCAGCAUGAGUAGAGUAUUUUACUAGGGAAGACCCAGGGAACAAGUAAAUAGGAGAGGUUUUGAGGAGACUCUUUUCCCAGCUUCCAAAUCCCAUGAAGCCCAGCCAGUAGGCUACUGGUCAGGGAUGAUGGGGGUUCUAGUCCAGUGACAUCAAGAGGGCCCCCAGCCCCCCCAACUCUGAAAUAAGGGCUAUUUCCUUGAUAAAUAGGAACCACGGCAGAAGUACUGGUAAGCAUGACAUCCCUCUGUACAGGAUGACAUACUUCUCAGUGCUGGUGAAGGGUGUCUUGGAAAAGACAUAUGCAUCUUGAUUAACAAAAUGUUUUGAAGAUACAAUGCCACUAAUGAGAAAGUCACCAGCCCGGUAAUAGCUGCAAGCAUCAGUCUGAUCCCUGACCAGAUUCAAGGGGCAUUUUGCCUUCUGGUUCCUGCAGACUACAUGGUGCAUCGUUAGCAGCAGAAGCAGCAACAGAAGCAGCAGGGAUCUCAUUCUGGCUCUGCACCUUACACAUAUAUUCCUCUUUCCCCAGCCUUUCGCUUGCACUAAAUCAUGGCUCAGUCUGUCUCCGACACAGGAAAUAUCCUCUUCAGCAAUGUUUUCUUUCACUGUCACGGUGUCAUUAAUAUCAUGUUGUUGUUGUUUCUGAUGCUUAUGCAAUCUCCAGAAAUAUCUCUGGAGCUUUUAAAAGAAGAAAUCACUAUGAUUUUGAUAAUUACAAGUGGAAGAAGUUUCACCUCAAUAACUUUCUGGAGUUUUGAAUGGCUGAAGAGGCAGGUGCAGAGCUGGAGAAAAACAUGUUUCUCAUAUAUGUGGCAUAACUCAGUGUGUGUGUGUGUGUGUGUGUGUGUGUGUGUUAUUGGGGGGGGGGGAGUUUGGCCUGAACUUUUCUCACACAGACCUAAUGAGAGCCCUGCAGCUGGAUCAGACCAAAGACCCAACUAGUCUAACAGUCUGUACCUCAUAGCAGCAAAACAGACAGUUAGGGCAGGAGGGUCCCAAUGGGGCUGAUCCCGCUUUUUCAAGAGACUGGGAGGGCUUAAAUCUUUAACAUGCUGCUAGCCAUGAUGCCCAUGCUCUGCCUCCACAGGGGGAAAUGCUGCUGCGCUUCAGUCCAGCCAGGGCUUUCAGCUGAGGCAUUUGGUUGGUCCCUGUGAGACCAGGAUGUGGGUUAAUGAUGAGUCAUUGGUCUAAUCCAACAGCCAGGCUCUUCCUAUAUUCUCACUGUUUUAUUUCAUAAUUGCAUUAUGUUUUGGUGCCAUGGACACGUUUCAGGGGAUAGAAAUGUCAAUACCAAAAAUAAUACAGAAUCAUCAUCAUCGUCAUCAUGUGUGUUUCUUAUACCCUACCCAACCACUCUGGGUGGCUUCCAACAAAAAUACAGGGAACUGUUGAGAUUCAAGCCUUUAUCAGGAGAAACUGGCAACUCUCCCAGGCACCCGGCUUGGUCUCCUGUUGACCUCUCUGUCUGCUUUCCCGGCAGGAUCCAGGCAGAGGUCGCGAUAGGCGAUCCUUCUCAGCGUGAGAAGAACACCCCCCCUCUUUGUUGCCCCCCCAGCAGGGGAAAGAGAUAGACAGAAACGUAUUUACAUGCCUUUAUUUCUGUCUUUGCAGCAUUACAAAAAAACAUGACUGCUCUCUUCAAACUCCAGCAGUCGAGAGAGCAAACACUUCCUGUACAGCUCAUAUUACACUCUGAGCUAAUUCCGGUGCCCUCUGUUUCCCACGGACAGUCCCAACAUCAUGUGAUGUUUUCAAACAAGCAGCUCGCAGCAGCAUUGUUUCUAUAUUGUAACAGGAACAACAACAACCUGAAAUGGGUCAGUGCAUCUGGCUGUUAACCAGAAAUUUGUUACUUCAACCCUACCCAGGGAUGGCUGUGGGAAGGUUUCCUGCAUUGUAGGGGGUAAGACUGGAUGCCCCUUGGUGUCCCAUCCAGCUUUACAAUACUAUGACUGUGUUUACACAUUAAAAGCUUCCCAGGAUACGGCUGCCUUCAGAUGAAAAUUUAUAUAGUUCCACAAACCUUCUGCCUGGUUCCCUGUAAUCUCACUGUGAGGGAAGCACCAGAAGGCUCUCAGAGCUGGGCCUCAGUGUAUGGGCUGACCAAGGGGUGGGGACACUCCUUCAGGUACACAGGGCCGAAGCUGUGAGGGACUUUAAAUAUCAACCCCAACACUUUGAAUUGUCCUGGGAAAUGUACUGGGAGUCAUUGUAGAUCUUUUAGCCCAAAUGUGAGAAAACCAGAACAUGUAAUACUCUGACGAGACAGUGGCCAGGAAGGUAGAGUUUCAGCUGGCAUACCAGAUGGAGUUGGUAGACAGUCACCCUGGACGCAGAGUUGACCUGCGCCUCCAUGGACAGCUGUAAAUCCAAAAUGACCCCCACACUGUGUGCCUGGUCUUUUAGUUUCCCCACACCUGCUCGUCCCCUGUCUCCCAGAAACAGUACUUCUGUCUUGUUGGGAUUCAGUUUCAAUCCAUUAACCAGCCCCACCCUCCAACUGCUUCCAGACAUUCACAUAGGACCUUCACUGCCAUUACUGGUUCCAAUUUAAACAAGAGGUAGAGCUGAGUAUCAUCUGAAUAUUGAUGAACACUCAGCCCCAACCCGCUGCUGAGGUCUCCCAGUGGUUUCAUAUAGAUAAGAAGGAGGGCAUCUCACAUCUUAUUUGGUGAGUGGGGAGAGGUAUGUCCAUCUUGGCCCCUUCUUCGGGUGACUCCUACAUUUCUGUGUUGAAGAAGGAACAAAUUUCUGCCAUUUUUAGCUGGGGGGGGUGUCGAGGGAGGGACCACCCUUUCCUUUAUGGAGCACAAUGUGGCUGUGCAUCUAUGCAGCUUGGACUGUUAGAAUUUUGGGGCUUGGGUCAUCCCAGACGUCUUUUCAUGGAGAACUCACUGGGGGCUUCUGGGGGUGGUUUUAUCCUCUUUUGGAUGAAAGGAUCUUCUUUCUGCUUCCAUGGAGGGAGGUGUUUUGGGGAGAAUUUAUGGGCUGUAUCCCUUGAAAUAUGCCCCCUUUCUUCCUUUCUAGGCUUCUACUUUCACUCCAUUUGCAGUCUGUUCCUUACAGGGUAGGAACCAAGCUAAGGACUGCAAAUUCAUUAUUCUCCUAUACAUCCCAGCCUUGUGUUCCAUAUCCCUCUAAAGGAAAGCAGUGACAUGGUGGCUUCAAAGCAGCUUAAAGUUUAUUUCCACCACUAUCUGAAAGGCUUCUUCAACAGAGGGCAACUCUCUGGGGUAGGUUGCAGGGGAGAAAUAUUGUUCUGAGGCUGUCCUUUCCCCUUCAAUGUGUUUUGGAGAACACUUCUUGUCUUUUUCCAGGAACCCUUAGUGAGUACUCUUUGGGUUUGGUCAGUCAACCAGCUACGAAUCCACCUAAAAGUUACCACAUUCAACCCACAUUUUACCAUCUUCCUUGCAAGAAUACCAGUGGGGACUUUGUCAAAAGCCUUACUGAAAUCCAUAUACACUAUGUCCACAGCAUCCCCCUGAUCCACCAAGCUUUUUUAAAAAAAGAAAGAAAUGAGAUUCUUCUGGCAUGACCUGUUUUUGAGAAACCCCUCCUGGGUCUUAGUAAUCAUAGCAUCCUUUUCCAAGUGCUCACAGACCAACUGUUGAAUUAUCUGUUCUAGGACCUUUCCUGGUAUUGAUGUUAAGUUCACUGGUUGGUAGUUGCUGAGUCUUCUCUCCCCCUCCUUUUUAUUUUUUUUUGAAGAUGGGAACACUUGCCCACUUCCAGUCUGUUCUCCAAGAAUUCCCAAAGAUUAUAGCCAGAGGCUCUGAGGUUACACCCACAAACUCCUUUAGUACCCUUGGAUGCAGCUCAUCAGGCCCUGGAGAUUUGAAUUCAUUUAAAGUAUCUAGGUGUUCCCUUACCACCCCUUUUCGUAUCUUGGGUUGCAGCUCCCUCCUUGCAUCACUUAUUGUGUCAUCACCAGGUAGGGCAUCACUUUCCUUUUGGGCAAAGACAGAGGCAAAGUAGGUGUUUGUCACCCAAUAGCAUUUCUCUGUCUUUUCCCGCAGAAGACUUACCACUUGCUUGUUCUUCGUCUUACUUCGGACAUGGACAAAAAAACAUUUUAAAAAUUAUUUUUAACCUCUCUUGUAAGCCUGAGCUCAUUCUGAGCUUUAGCCAGCCUGACCUUCACUUUGCAAACUUUGGCUACUCAUGUAUAUUCCCCCUUUCUUCCAUUUCUUAUGCAGCCCUGACACAUGCCCUUCUUUAACUCUCAGCUCUUCUGUAAGUUCCUUAUGCAACCCCACUGGUUUCUUUAGAUGAGUCCCACUUUUCUUUCUUGUUGGAAUUGUCUGCAUGUGGGUGUAUGUAAGUCAAUUCAAAAUAGGGCAUUGACCUAAUGUGUGUCUAGUACAACUAUACUCAGAAGGAUACAUUUGAGCAAGGACUUCUUUUUAUUAAAGCACUAAUAUUUUAAAAUAUCAUGAUAUGGACUUCCAGUGAAUUUUCUAAGUGAGCAUAACAUGGAGAUGAACUUACAUUUUCUCGCUUUUUCUGGCCAUUAUUUGCUCUCUGUUGUUCAGAUCAGGCCUCAACAAAAGUAUGUAACAUUUGGGGGAAAAGAUGCAACCCAGUAAGCCAGCGCUAGAGCAUAAGAUGGAGAAGAUCUCCACGGCCACCAAGUAUUUCCCUUUGGUGCUCAUGUAGGUUGGAACAAAGGACAACCAAACACUACAAAACACCAACAUGCUGAAAGUGAUAAAUUUGGCUUCAUUGAAACUAUCGGGUAAUUUCCUGGCCAGAAAAGCCACAAUGAAGCUGAUUAUGGCCAGGGAACCCAUAUAGCCCAAGACACAGUAAAACAUGGUAGAUGCACCCUCAUUGCAUUCCAAUAUGAUCUUCCCAUUCAAGGAUUGCAUGUCCCUGUCUGGGAAUGGAGGGGAAGUACUUAACCACAGAGCACAAAUGGCAGCUUGAAUGAAGGUGGAGGAGAGGACAAUUGAAAUGGUCAGUCUUUUCCCCACCCAUUUCCUCAUCCCAGAUCCUGGCUUGGUUGCCAUGAAUGCCAGAACCACGGUGAUGGUUUUUGCCAAUACGCAGGAAAGAGCCACAGAGAAGACAAUGCCAAAGACCAUUUGGCGUAGAAGGCAGAUCCAUUUUCCUGGCUGCCCAAUGAAGAGCAAAGCACAGAGGAAGCAAAGAAGAAGGGAGAUGAGGAGAGUGUAAGUGAGGGUCCGGUUGUUGGCCUUGACGAUGGGCGUGUUCCUGAGUUUCACAAAACUUCCCAGCACUAAAACUGUGAUGAAAGAGAAAGAAAUGGCCAAGAUAGCCAAGAUAAUCCCUAAAUUUUCUUGGUAAGAGAGGUAGUUUAGAACUUUGGGAAUACAUUGACUGUAGUCCUUGCUGGGAUACUGGUCUUCUGGACAAUUGAUACAAGCUUCCAUAUCUGAGGGGAGGAAUGAAAAGCUGGUUAUUUCUAGACAUUUACCAAUUAUUACCUGAACAGUACAUUAGAAGAGUCAGAUUCAUUUUCUACCUUCCUGAAAUUCUUUUAACUACUUCAAGAAAAGCAUUCCCAGUAGUGAGAAUGAAUCUUUCUGUGUUCACGUGUUCAUGUUUGAGUUCAUGCUUUGUAAUAGCUAAAUGUUUCUCUGUGUGAUGGUAAGGCACAAUGGACAGCAAUUCAGUGUAAGAUAUUGUCAAGGCUGCCUCAAGUCUUAGCUCACAAAAGACCAACGCCUCUGUCUUCUUAUAUACAAAAGUGUUUAUUGCAGUUCAUGGUUUGCUUGACAUCCUAGGCGCGCAGCCUUACGUCUCUUACGCUAGACCGCCGAAGUCCCCUCUGAGUCAGUUCCUCCCCUGCACCAAUUUAAGAGACUUGCGCUGCUCCACCUCUUUCUCUCCUUCCUUUUCCGCAGGGUCCUUCUGCCCACUGGGGUUUCGCCCUCCUGGAUUCCUCUGACGCGGAAUCCCCAGACUGCUCUUUCCCCCUCCUGCGGGCUUUGGGACCUGGCCCCUCCUCCGGGCUCCCUGCACUUCCGCGCGCCUCUACAUUUGAACUAGGCGCGCGCGCCAAACCUCUAACUUUCCUUUUGACAGUUACACUACUCCCUUCACUGCUCCCCUCCCCUCCGGGAGGGCGGCUUGCUCUGACCCCCCUCCUUUCUCUGCUGCUGGAGCUGCUUCCUCUGACACACUGGAAACUCCACCCCCUUCGCUGCACUCUGGUGGGGAGGCUGGUCCUGACGCCCAGCUGCCACUUUGGGAUCUUCCGCUGGCACCCUGCUCCUGACACUUCCCCCCUGGGGCUCCCCUGGCCUUGACCACCGGCGCCCCGUCUGGGAAUCCUCUGAUUCGCUGGAAAGACUCAUGGAAUCUCUUGAGUCAUUGUCAUCCUCUUCCUCGCUGGCUUGGAAUUCCUCCCCAUCGCUCUCCAUCUCCUGCCUACCCUGUGCCUCUCUCCCUGAACCCCUGACAUCCAUCCCCCUCGAAGCCCCCUUCCCCCCUCCCGCUGCUCGGGCGCAGGUUCCGGGAGCUUCGUUGUAGCGGGGGUAGAUGCUGGAUACAGUUCGUCGACGUCGAUCUCCUCUGCUUCCAGUUCAGUGUAGGAGUGCUCGAAACCAGGGUCCUCCCCCAACACCUCCAAACCCUUCCCUCCCCCUGUUACUUCAGGCGAAGCUGCUUGCCAAGGCCCCCUUCGCCACCCCACUUCUGGUUGAUCGUCCCACCAAUAAGAGCGGUCCGUGUCUACCCCCGAGCACGAUCCCCUUGGAGGGCUCGAUUGCGGCGUGGUCUCCUCUGCGGAGGAGAACCCCCGGAAGGUGCUGCCUGAAAGUGUGGGGGUAAAGCCAGUCGUCAAAAUACUCCUCUGGCAUGGGCCUGUGUGGGAAGAGUGCAUGGAACUCGUCCUUAAGCAAAGGUUCCUCCAGAGCAUAAUCUGGCACCCAACUGUUGGCGCUGGCCGGGGUACCUUCCCUGGCGAGGAGGUAUUCCACUCCCUCCUCCCCCCAUCUCGAGUCCAGAAUUUCCGUGACCUCGUUGAGUGUCGGGGUCCUCGGUGACUCCCCCCCCCCUGGUGACUUCCUACGUGGGUCUGGUGCCGUCCCUGGCUCCUGAAAUCGGUGUGGGGCCUUGUAGGGUGUAAGCACCGACCUAUGAAAGACCGGGUGCAUUCGGGAAUCCUCUGGGAGGGUCAACCGAAAGCUACGGGAUUGAUCCUGCCCUCAACUUGGUAUGGCCCUAGCUGUUUGUGUCCUAGCUUCUUCUUAGCUAACGACUUGGCCGGCACCGCCUGGGCUGCUAACCAUACCCAGUCCCCCACCUGGAUGUCUUCUCCUGCCCUCCUGUGCCUGUCUGCCUGCACUUUGUAGGCGUGUUUAGCCAGUUCCAAGUGCCGUCGUAGCUCCUCGUGGACCUCCUGCAAUUCUGCUGCUAAAUGUUCCGCUCCCUGCGACUCCCCCUGUGUCGUUGUCUCCAACGCCGGGAAUGUUCUGGGAUGUCGCCCAUUGUUGGCGAAGAACGGUGUCACCCCGUUGACGCGUGCUUCGUGUUGUUGUAGGCAAACUCGGCCAUCGGUAAGUAGUCCACCCAAGUUGCCGGCUUCUGAUUGGCGUAACAGCGCAGGUACUGCUGCAUGAUGGCGUUGACCCUCUCCGCUUGGCCGUUGGUUUGCGGGUGUCUCGCCGACGCUAAGUUGAUCUUGACAUUCAGGAUGCCCAGGAGCUUCUGCCAGAAACUGGAAAUGAAUUGGCGACCCCGGUCGGACAAAAUGGACCGUGGUAAGCCGUGCACCCGGAACACGUGGUCUAUGAAUAGCCUGGCGGUCUGCUCCGCUGUUGCCACCUUCGCGCAAGGAAUGAAAUGCGCCAUCUUGGUGAACAGAUCUACAACCACAAGCACCGCCGUCUUGCCCCGCGAACUGGGCAGAUCAGUGACAAAGUCCAGCGCCACCCUUUCCCACGGCUGCAGUGGCGUCUCCAACGGUUCCAGCAAUCCCGCUGGCUUCUUGUGCACUGGCUUGGACCUCUGACAAGUGUCACACCUGGCGACGUAAUCCGCGACUUCUCCCCGCAUCUGGGGCCACCAAAAGUCCCUGGCUACUAAGUCCGCCGUCUUCUCCUUGCCGAAGUGACCCGCGCUCGGGGCGUUGUGUAACUGCUGUAAAACCUUCGCUCGGAGAUCGUCUCCCGGGACGUAGAGAGCACCUUUGCGGGUCAGCAGGCCGUCGCGUAUCUGGAAUUCGCCGUCCUUUGCUGUCCCUCUUCGCACCUCCUCCAUCUUGGAUUGUGCAAACGGAUCCGUCUGUAACGCGCGUCGUACCGCGUCCAGGUCCACGGCGGCAGAAGCGCACGCCCACGCUUGCGGUGCAAAAAUGUGCCUGGCUGCCACUGGUGCCGCUUCCUCAAGAUACUGCGGUUUCCUGGAGAGCGCAUCCGCUAUGACGUUGUUGUCUCCCGGGAUAUACUCUAUCCGGAAAUCGAAAUCCGCAAAGAACUCCGCCCAUCUCAUGUGCCUCUGGCUCUGGAGCUUCGCCGUGCGCCAAUACUCUAGGUUCUUGUGGUCCGUGCGGACCUGCACGGUGUGCUUGGCUCCGAUGAGGAAGUGCCGCCACGCCUUGAAAGCCGCGUGGAUGGCCAACAACUCCCUGUCCCAGAUGGUGUAGUUCUGUUCCGACUUGCUGAGCUUCCGGGAAUAGAAAGCGCAGGGCCUCCAGUUCUCUUGCGAAUCUUCCUGCAAGAGGACGGCCCCACUGCUCUGUCAGAUGCGUCAGUCUCAACCCGCAUGGGCCUGCCGGGAUUCACGUGUAGCAGCUGGUCUUCGGACGCGAAGAGACUCUUAAGUCUCCUGAAGGACUGCUCCGCCUGGUCCGUCCAGGUGAACUUUUUCUUCUUGGAACUGAGGGUGUCCGUGAUAGCUGCCGUCUCUUUCGCGAAACCCUGAUGAACUUGCGGUAAAGUUGGCGAAGCCGACGAACCUCUGGACCUCCUUCCGAUUGCGCGGGCUAUUCCAGUCCAACACCGCGCGGACCUUGGCGCUGUCCAUGGCUAAUCCCUUGUCGGACAGCCGGUAGCCCAGGAAAUCCACCUCCGUCACGUCGAACUGGCACUUCUCCAGCUUGGCAUAGAGUCUGUGCUCCCGUAGCCUCUGCAAGACCUCCUUUACGUCUCUUUCGUGAGUCUCCUGCGAUUCUGAGAAGAUCAGAAUAUCGUCGAGAAAGCAUACUGUCAGAGCUGCUUCCAGAUCCUAGCUCACAGAGGAUCACGCUAGCCAGCGAUCAUUAAACAAAAGUCUUUAUUGAGUUACAGUUUCCAUUCUCAAACUGCUGCGUGCAACUCUACGUCUCAUGGUUGGACCGGCGAAGCUCCGUCUGAGUCUCCGCCCCUUGUACACCAACUUAAUAUCCUAGCCCUGCUCCACCUUUUCCGCCUGACUGUUCUUCUCUGGGUCCCUCUGCCCCCUGGGGUCUCUUCUUUCCGGGAUUCCUCUGACGCUGACGCUGACCCCCCUGACUCUUCUCCCUCCUUUCGGCGGGCUUUAGGACCUGGCUCCCUUUCCGGGCUGCCUACUGUGCCACCUUCCUGUGCAUUUGAACGUGGCGCGCGCGCCCAACCUUCCACCUUCCGUCUGACCGUUUCUUCGCUCCCCGAUGGAGGUGUGGCCACUCCUGACUCGUGCCCUCCCCCCUGUUGUGAGCUGCCAGCGCUUGAUCCCUGGCUCCCUUCCUCUUCCCUGCUCUCUGGCGGUGACGCUGGUCCCGAUUUCCAACUGCUCCCUGCUGAGUCCCCUCUGGCUCUAUCUUCCUGGGGCGUCCCCUAGGCUCCCCCUUGCCCUGGCCACUGGUGCUCCUUUCUGUGAAUCUUCUGAUUCACUGGAAAGACUCGGAGAUCUCGGGUCGUCGUCAUCACUCAUCUUUUCUUCUGCCUCCUCCCCCUCGCUCUCUGUUUCCUCCCUUGCCCUUGCCUCUGCUCCUGAACCCCUGACACAUACGCACUUCUUGUAGAGGAGUCCUGCUAGCACGUGGUGCAUGAAUGCUUGAAAACAGUGGGAGCCACCUUGGAGACCAAACGGCAUAACUCUGUAUUCAUAGGUGCCCAGCGGCGUGAACAUGGCCGUCUUCCACUCGUCACCUUCCCUCAUGCGUAUGAGAUUGUAUGCUCCGCGUAGAUCCAACUUGGUGAAGAUCCUCCCCUUCCUCACCGUCGCGAGCAGGUCGUCAAUCUUGGGCAUAGGGAAAGCCUUGGGUUUUGUCAUCGAGUUUAUGGCCCUAUAGUCCACAAUGAGCCGUUUUUGGGGCGUGUCCUUCUUCUUCACGAAAAACACAGGACUGCCCCCCACUGCCUUGGAUUCUUGGAUGAAUCCCCUCUUCAAAUUGUGAUCUAUGAACUCCCUGAGCUCCUGCAUCUCAUCUUCAGACAUGGAAUACAGCUUCGCAGUCGGCAGCGUCGCCCCUGGUAAGAGGUCAAUUGCACAGUCGUAGGGCCGGUGGGGUGGUAAUUGGUCAGCUUCCUUCUCGCAGAAGACCUCCAAAAACCCCUUGUACUUGUGGGGCACUGCCUGCACCAUGCCUAGAUGCAGCUGUUGUCCUUCCUCCGUUCCCUCCUCGUCCUGGCCGAUCUGGAUGCAAUGUUGUGCACAGUAGGACGAGCCAAAGGUGAGCUGCCGCUGGUACCACGCCAAGGAUGGGCUGUGUCUAUCCAGCCAACUCAUGCCUAACACUAUGGGCGUGUCUGACAGUUGGGUGACAUUGAAACUGAUGACCUCGCGAUGAUUCCCAAUUUUCAGCAGCAUGGGUGGCGUCUGUUGUACCACUUGCCCACCCAGCAACUUCCUGCCAUCUACAGUGACCACAUUCAGAGGCAGCGUGGCUGGUAGUAAGGCUAUGCGAUGCUGCUUGACGAACUGCACCCCCACGAAGUCUGCGUUGCUCCCUGAGUCAAUCGUAAUGGGGACUUCCAGGGUGAGUCCAUUAGGCAGCUGGAGAGUAGCAGUGAGCUGCACCACUGGCUUAGGUGGUAAGGGGUCUGUAGGCUGCAUAGGCGGUGGGGACUGCUUUGCUGAGUUGCCUGGCGGAGCCCCAGCGUCUCUCCCUCCAACCGGGCAUUCUCGUUUCCCUGAAACUGCUCCCCUUGGAAAGCUUACUGUUACUGUUGCUAAGGCUGCAGUGUGCUUCUGGAGCCUCUGGGGACACUCUUUAGCCAUGUGCCGUGCACUGUCACAGAUGUAACACUUCCUGGUCCCUCUAGGAGGCUUCGCUUUGACUGCUCCUGACGCUGAGGCUCCGGCAGCUGUCUGAGCCUUUGCACCACCCAGUUCCAUCAGUUCUUCCCCAGCUGCCAGCACAGGCGAAAGGCUUGAACGUUCCAAGUCCCUGGAAGGAAAAGGAGGUGCUCUAGCUGGUGGGCGGACGUGACGCCCCUCCUCCCUGUGCCAAGGGCGUUCUUCUUGGCGCACCCCUAUCGUGAGUGCCCUCUGCACGACUUCUGCUAGGGUUUGAGGUCUGUCUCCCCUAGCCAGCUCAUCUUUCACUGAGCCAUGAAGCCCUUCCCAAAACAAGUCCCUCACUGCCAGGGAGUCCUUUUCCCAGCCCAGCACAUUCAGCAAUGCAAAAAAGCGAGAAUGGUACUGACGCACUGUAGCCUUGCCCUGCCGCAAUCCAUGCAUCUCCUGGCGUGCCACAUCAACGUCAACAGUAGAUUGGAAGCAAGCGUCCAUGGCUUUGAGAAAUUCAUCAGAGUCCCUGCGUGCAAGACCAUCUUCGCGCCACAAAUUGCGUAACCAGUUUCUUGCUUCCCCAUGCAGAUGAGACACGAUAAACCCCACUUUUUCCUCCUCAUCUUUGAAGUCUUUUCGAAGUAAAUGCAGUGCGUAUACGACGUCUGCUCUGAAAUUGGGAUAAUGCUUCAGGUUCCCAUCGAAGUGGGCUACUAAAUUGCCCCCCCUCCGUCCGAGUCCGAUUCCCUCUGAUCUGGACCCCGGGAACCCCUCUCUGCACGCCCGAUCCCACCUGGCUUGCAGAUCCUGGCAUCGCGCUUCUGCUUCAGCAACUGUCUUCUGAGAAACCACGACAGCAGUGGAGAGCUCGGUGACUGCAGUUUGCAGGGACGCUAUCUGCUCCUCAGUAGUCAUUGCUGCCAAACUUCAUGAGCUGUGCAAAAAAAAUUUUGCGGUUUUUUUGUUGAGAGAGGGGACUUACUGUCAAGGCUGCCUCAAGUCUUAGCUCACAAAAGACCAACGCCUCUGUCUUCUUAUAUACAAAAGUGUUUAUUGCAGUUCAUGGUUUGCUUGACAUCCUAGGCGCGCAGCCUUACGUCUCUUACGCUAGACCGCCGAAGUCCCCUCUGAGUCAGUUCCUCCCCUGCACCAAUUUAAGAGACUUGCGCUGCUCCACCUCUUUCUCUCCUUCCUUUUCCGCAGGGUCCUUCUGCCCACUGGGGUUUCGCCCCUCCUGGAUUCCUCUGACGCGGAAUCCCCAGACUGCUCUUCCCCCUCCUGCGGGCUUUGGGACCUGGCCCCUCCUCCGGGCUCCCUGCACUUCCGCGCGCCUCUACAUUUGAACCAGGCGCGCGCGCCAAACCUCUAACUUUCCUUUUGACAGUUACACUACUCCCUUCACUGCUCCCCCCCUUCCAGGAGGGCGGCUUGCUCUGACCCCCCCUCCUUUCUCUGCUGCUGGAGCUGCUUCCUCUGACACACUGGAAACUCCACCCCCUUCGCUGCAUUCUGGUGGGGAGGCUGGUCCUGACGCCCAGCUGCCACUUUGGGAUCUUCCGCUGGCACCCUGCUCCUGACACUUCCCCCCUGGGGCUCCCCUGGCCUUGACCACCGGCGCCCCCUUCUGGGAAUCCUCUGAUUCGCUGGAAAGACUCAUGGAAUCUCUUGAGUCAUUGUCAUCCUCUUCCUCGCUGGCUUGGAAUUCCUCCCCAUCGCUCUCCAUCUCCUGCCUACCCUGUGCCUCUCUCCCUGAACCCCUGACAGAUAUACUCUUCAAAUAAAUAAUUACUAUGCUACAUUAUCGAAAAUUAUUAGUAUCUAUGUACAUAUAGCUUCCUACCCUCCUGGUUGGAGAUCGUCCCUUCUGGACACUGAACACAAUCAUAGCAGCAGAAUUUCUCUCCCUCCUUCUUUUUCUUGCUGUAGCCAGGAUAGCAGUAGUCAUUGCACAGAGAAACAGGCAGCACCUGUGCAGAAACAGGGAGAUGAGGAAUAAGAGAGAUGCCUUCUUCUGUAUCACGUGAAAGGGAGACUAAAGAAGAAGCCAACGGCUCAGCUCUGCCACUCCACCUCCACCUCCUGGGAGCAAGGAUGCCUUCUUGGCUGCCUUCACUGCCACUCGGUGGGCUUGAGGAUGAGCCUCACCAGGGUUGAAACUGCAUUCAGUAGACAUUAGAUAGACUACCUUGCUUCAGAAUGAAUAUAUUAUUUUACAUAUCAUGUAUCACAUUUUUUCCAGUUGAUUCUCUGCUAUUUUAUGCUUGAUACUGAAUUAUUUUUAAUCCUGUGCAUGAAGUUUACCUAAUUUUCUCUUGGUUUUUAAUGUCAUAUAUUAUUCAACCAGAAGGGCUUUGGGAGAGGAAAACAAAUGGAGGCAGUGGCUAAUUUUUCUCUGAUGGAACCAACUUUCUUUUUUCCAAAUAUGAUUGGAAAACUGUAACAACAUUCAAAAUCAAUGGUUAGAGUUAUGCCCUCUUGAAACCUAACCACAUUUUUUAAAAAAAUGGGAGGUUGAAAAGAGCACUUCUUGAGUCUCUCUCAUUUAGUCUCUCUCUCUCUCUCAUUCUUGAGUCUCUUCACUUAGAACUGAGCUGGCUUCACCAAUGGAGCAACAGGAACCAGGCGGCCCCAAGAGGGGCAGGGUUAAAUGAAGAGUAAGCAAGGAUCAGAUCUGAAUCAGCUUCCACAAAUUUGUUUCAUUGGUUUGGUGAGACUGACCAUUAAAAAUGCAUUAUUGUCAUCAUGUCCAGAAUUUGGAAAUACCUUACAAGAUGUUUGCACUAAGCCCUCAGCAACCCGUGAGACUGGAGGAGGAGAGAGAAUCAUCCCCCAAGAGUCGCUUGAGGCCAGAGGUUCGUCCCCAGCUCAGAGAACAGCAAGCGGUCCUUUUCAUUUCAUAUAUGGAAGUGUUUGCAGUUAUGGCUCACCUGUUUAGCUGCCAAACAAUUUAUAUUCUUUUACUUAGAAGGGAAGGAGCUGCUAUAUAUAUAUAAUGCUAACUAGAAUCAUUCAGAAGCUGAACAGCAUGUCAAAUGAUAAACUGAUUUAAAAAAUGGGUUUCCCCCCCUUUUAUAUACGCAAGUAUUUGUAGCUGUGUCGCACCUGAUUAAAUCUUGGAUGCCAAACAAUCAGGUCAUCAUGAAUGGUUAAUUCUUUGCCCAGAGGAGCCUGAGGUUCCAGUCCUCCAACUUUGACUCGAACCACAGAGCCAUUGGGGAACAUCACCCAGUUUGUAACAUCAAAUCCAGUAACUUGUUCACCAUUUUCAUCAAAGCGCACUGUGUCUCCAGCACUAUUAUUGAUUACCAUACUCUUUAGAAACUGAUGCACCUAGAUUGAACGAAAAUAUGAACAAGGGGAUCAAGGUACUGCAAUGAUUUAAGUGAGGUUCACAAAUGCCUCUCAUACUCAUUUUUUAUUUUAAAAACAUGGUGACUUGAUAUGCCUUGAUAUCAUUUUGGUUCCUUUAGUCGAAAACGGAACAUAAAAGAAAGCCCCACACAUUUGUUUAUUUUAAAUGGAAUUGGAUUCUGCAAAACUAGAGUGACUUUGGAACAAAAUUUAGCAUGGUUUUUUAAAAAAAGUUUUGAGUUGUAAUUACCUAUUAUAAACAACAAACAAACAAACAACAACCUUUGUUGUUUAUAAUAGUUUUAGAAGUAUUAGCACAAAUAAUAAGUUGCAAUCAAGAUAUUAAAGGUGUAAGAGUGGAACAGAGACAAUAUAAAUUAAAAGCAUUUGCAGACGACGUGGUGAUAUCUGUAGAUGAACCAAUAGAGUCAACCCCCAAAGUAUUACCAGAGAUAACAACAUUUGGUGAGGUAGCAGGUCUUAAGAUAAAUAUAAUAAAUAUAAUAAAUCUUAAUAAAGAAAAAAACAAUUUUUGGUUAAAAAUAUGAAGGAGGAGAGUAAAAACAAAUUACAAGAUGUAUCUGGUUUAAAAAUUGAAAGAAAGGUUAAAUAUUUAGGUAUAUGGGUAACAGAAAAUAAUAGAAAAUUUCUAUAAAGACAAUUAUCUAAAAACCUGGGAAGAUAUUAAAAGAAAUUUGCAAAUUUGGGACAGAAUGAAUCUUUCAUUAUUAGGUAAAAUGUUGACUAUAAAGAUGAAUGUGUUGCCAAGAAUGUUAUUUCUGUUUCAAAUUAUUCCAGAGAUUGGCAGGACAGAUUGCUUCAAUGCAUGGCAAAAAGAUAUUUCUAAAUAUAUUUGGCAAGAGAAAAACCCAAGAAUAAAAUAUAAAAUAUUGAUAGAUGCAAAAGAAAGAGGAGGUGUCCCCCUACCAGAUAUGAGAUUAUAUUAUGAGGCAAGCUGUCUUUGUUGGUUGAAGGAAAGGAUGAGGUUAGAGAAUUCACAUAUUUUACACUUAGAAGGUCAUGAUAAUAUUUUUUGGCUGCCACGCUUAUUUAUGAUACAAAAAGGUGAAAGUUCAUGAAACCAGAAGCUUUUCUUUUGGGAAUUAUAGGACAGAACUACCUAAAUUGUAUAGAAAUUUAUUUAUGUAUGUUACUACAGCUGCCAGAAUGCUGCUCGCCCCAAAAUUCAAAGAAGCAGAAGUCCCAGCAAAGGAAGAAUAGAUACAAAAACUUAUGGACUAUGCAGAUAUAGUGAAACUUACCAGAAGAAGAAUAAAUCAAGCUAACUUCUUAUAAAAGAAUGGAAAUGGUUUAUUGAAUAUUUACAGAUAAAUUUCAAACAGAUAAAACAUUGGCAGGAUUAUUGUAAUAACCUGCAGUUUCAUAAGAGUAUAUAUUUAAAGUAGAUAAUUAAAUGAAUUUGGAUAUGCAGAAGAUAUUAAAAAAUAAAUUUAAGGAAGCGCAGAAAGUGGGGGAAGGAAUUCAAGUUUUAUAAUGUUUAAAUGAUUGUAAAAUUAAUGAAAUGCAUCAAUUUGAAAAAUAUUAAUAAAAACUUUUUAAAAGAGUUGUAAUUACCUGCCAAGACUGCACAUUCUGAAAUGCCAGUCUGUCUCCUCCCAGUCUUCUGUGUUUGGUGAUGGAUUUGUAUAUAGCAUUCAAAGCAUGUGUCAGAGCAUAGACAGCAUUGUAGACAUUGUAGCUGUGGCCUGUCAUUUUCAUUUCAAAUAAAAUUCCAGGAAUGCUUUCCAAUUUCUCCUCCCCAGUGCAGCUUGUCUUCUCCUCUUCCUCCUGUCCUUUAGGCAGUUUUAAUGAACAGCUGAAGGAUUGUUCCCAGAAGUCCUGGAUAAAACCAUCUCUUUGGGCCCAGGAAGGUCUUAUCAUCUGAAGGAACUCUUGGAAUCCUACCAGCUGGUUUGAGUGAACAGUGAAGGUUAGGGAGCCAUGAAAGGUUUGUAUAUCAAACUGUUUGUGAAGCAAUUGUGAUGCAAAAUCCCAGUGGGAUGUAACAAGCCAGACUUUACCCAGAGGUGGUGAUGAAUAAUAUAAUGGUAUUCCCAACAGCAUAAUUCUCAAAAUCAUAAAGGAAGGAGGUUCUCCAUAAAUAAAUACUACAUUGGCUUUUCUCUGAAAGGCACUUACAUAGUUUCUCAGACUUUCAAUGCCUAAUUCUAGCAUUUCAUCCACAUAAUUCCAUUUUGGGAUUCUGACUAUGAAGUCAUAACAAAUAUGAUUCUGCGAAAGCAUUGGUACAAUUGUCUGUAAAAACUUGUCCCCUUUGUCAUCAUCCACAGCCAAGAGCCCAAUCCAUGGCCAUUUGAAAUGCUGAAGUAACAAGACCACUCCCUUGUGCUGGUGGGCUUCAUUUGGGACCAUCUGGUACAAAAACGGGAACAGCCUUUUGGCACCUUGUACUGGCAGAAAUGAUCCAUAAAUAAGCUGAAAUAAAAUGCAUGAAUAUUUUUUCAGAUGGAGAAGAUCAUGCUACACCUGUGAAUCACAGAGUUGCAGGGCCAUUUUUGAGAAGCAUUACAAGAUAAUUUUAAUUACAAUGUUCCAGAGAAUCCAGCAGGUUGUCAUGUUUAACAUCCUGCUUAGACUCAUAGAAUUGCAGCGUUCAGGUCCUACCCUCUGGAGCAGCAGAAAACAAGCUUGCUCCAUCUUCCAUGUUACAGUCCUUGAGAUGGGACCCCUGGAUCCUUUUCACAUGUACUGCUAGUAAGCUUGGUGUCCCACAUCUUAUACCGCUGCAGCUGGUUCUUCCUGCCUAAGUGCAGAACCUUACAUUUGUCCCAAUUGAAAUUCACUUUUAAGCUUGGUCCCAGGUCUCCAACCUGUUACAGUCAUUUUGAAUCACAGUUCAGUCUUCUGCAACAUUAGCUACCCCUCCCAGUUUGGUGUCAUCUGCAAAUUUGAUGAGCAUCCCCUCAAUUCCUUCAUCCAAAUCAUUUAUGAAGAUGUUGAACAACAACAGGCCCAGGACAGAACCCUAGAAUCAUAGAAUCAUAGAAUCAUAGAGUUGGAAGAGACCACAAGGGCCAUCGAGUCCAACCCCCUGCCAAGCAGGAAACACCAUCAGAGCACCCUGCAGCACCCCACUUGUCCCUUUCUUUCAGAAUGACAAGGAAUCAUUAAUGAGUCCUCUUUGGGUUUGGUCAGUCAACCAGCUACAAAUCUAUUUAACACUUAUCUUGCUCCACACAAAUUUUAACAACCUUCCUUGCAAGAAUAUCAUUGGGGACUUUGUCAAAAGUCUAACUAAAAUCACGAUACACUACGUCUACAGUGUUCUCCUGAUCUACUAAGCUUGUAACUCCAUAAAAAAAGAGAGAUUCGUGUGGCAUGGCUUAUUUUUGAGAAACCCAUGCUUGGCCUUAGUAAUCACUAUUCUGCCUUGGCCAGGCCAUACUUGGAAUACUGUGUCCAAUUCAUUAGAAAUGUUAAUAACCCUUCCACUUUUUUUACCAGCUGCACAUUGAUAUAGAUUCUUUCCAAUCUUUCAUCUGAGUCAUUGAUUCAAAAUUUCAGUUCAGUCCCAGAAUAUAGUUUUUAGGGGGACUCCAUUUAACCUCCCUCCAUUUGAUGUUAAGCCAUCGCUGAACACUCAGUGAGUACUGUUUUCUAAAGAGCUAUGUAUUCGCUAGAUAAGCUAACACUUAGUCCACAUUUAAACUGUUCAUUAAAGAAAAUAUAUCAGGGAACAUUUUCAAAGCUUUGUGGGCAUCUAGAUUGUGUGUCACAGUUGUGAAAUCUCCACACACUCAUGCACACAGCUUACCUGUGGAGUCUUGUAGAUGUCUGAAAUGAUGGCCAUAUUGGCAGAGAUUUCAGAGAUGCAUCCUCCAAUGAGAGCUAUCAGAUUGUUGUGGUUGUGACACUUGAAGUUGGGGACAAAGUGACGUUGUGCAGAAAAGAGGCUGAGGGUGGCCUUAUAGGUCAUCCUGGCAGUGUAGUAGCUGUUGAGGAUUUUGAAUCCAAGAGAGAUAUUUGAUAAGAUGUUGGGAUUCUCAUUGAUCUCUUUGACAGCAAAUGCUAAGGCCAGAACAUGCUGGUAGUUCUUUGGCACUGAACUGAAAAAGGUACAGCCUGUUUUACUGAAACAGCAGGAGCAGCAGCAGCAACAACAACAAAAUCAUCAUCAUCAUCAUUAUGAAUAAAAACAUAUUUAUAGAUUUCAUCCUUAGUUACCUGGAAG